GGGGACGUGGCCCAGCCAGGGAGGGCGACUGACUCCAGAUCAGUCGAUCGGGGGUUCAAAUCCCUCCGUCCCCA
rnacentral:tRNA from 1 species